UAAAAGUAGACUAUUUUUGAUGCUCAACAAACAAAAGAGCUCCACACAGACACAAUAUUUGGAGAGCAAAGACCGGCAUUGGCAUAUGAUUGUGAUAAAGCUUAAAGCCCAAAGUAGUCUUCUCCAAACACUGAUCUCUCUCAGCAUUUCCAAAAUGUGAAAUGAAGAGCCCAGUUAGCGGCCAUGUUAGUGGGGGUCUUGUAGUGUAAGUGUAAAAGCAAAUUCAACAUUGAGUAUUAACUGCAAAAAAACAUGUUAAAUUUUUCAUACCUCAACUGUUUGUGUAGAUCAGCAUGCUAUUUUCUUAGUGCACAAUGACAUUGGAUUGCGACCUUUUAUUCCUAAAAUAUCACAACUCAAUACGUUUAAUUAGAAAUCAGGUUUAUAAACUGCAGGUGAACUCCUAGAUCCAUGAUAUCAUGUGUAAAACUAUAGAUUGCAAGCAUGCCUUGUACUCCCUCCGGUUCAAAAUAAUUAUCCAAAAAUAGAUGUAUAUCUACACACUAAAACAAGUCUAGAUACAUCCAUUUUUGGGCAAUUAUUUUGAACCGGAGGGAGUAGUAUUUUAUAGUAAAUUGGAGUGGGUAUUGGUAGCAUUUUACUGCAGUGAUGCAGAUCGUAAAGGCUAAAGAGUACCCUGUCCUCGAUGGAAGUGUAUUAAUUUCCAUAGUGCUUCAUAAGAAAAAAAAAAGCAAAGCUACUUCAUGAUCUCAACAAUUUUGAUGUGACAAACCUCAAGGCAUUACUGCCUCAAGACGAUAUUGCCAACUCGUCCAUGUCCAUGCACGGCGUCAUGGCUGAUUUGCUCGUCAGCCGCUGCUGUUUGGUGUCCAAAGUACACGGCGAUGAAUGCGGGCCUAGGCGACAAGAACCCCCCGCCUUUCUUCAGCACGAUUGUACAUGUCUAUUAGACAAUUACGAUUACCAUGGUGCUAGCCGGAGCGGGUAUAUCAUGUCGGGUGCGCUAAAAGGGCAGAUAAUCUCAACUUCUCAUGUUGAGUUUGAGACCGUAGAGUGAUGGUGGAGGCGAUGAUCUUGAAUUUGGGAAGACGAUGAUUCAUAGCUCGUUGCGCGAAUAUAGUUUCAUUUGCAUGGCGAUUUUUAUGUUGGAACUGUGGGAGUGCUUACUGUGUGCCUUAUGAUCAGUGCGUUGCAGCAGAGGCUGUAUUUCUUCUGUUGCGAGUUGCUAAUCAUUUUGGCAAGGCAUUUUUUCCUUUUUAUUUAUUUAUAUCCUUUUGACUGUGUGCAUCUUUGAUGUCUCAACUAGUUCUUGAUAUCAUGUUGUUUCAGAGGCCGGAUGUAAUUGGCAUCUUUUGGAUAUUAAUAUAUUCCUUUUAUCGAAAAAGAUAUGCUAGAAGAUAUUUCGUAAUGACUCAUCUUAGCAACAUACUAAAGUGUGCAAAUAUGCUAGGAAUAGUAAAUUGUAAAAGAACCAGAACAGCGGUUAACAUGAAAAACCAAUGGCUGGGUAGGCCAUGAACAUGAAUAAUGCUACUGGGGGAGCACAAAUGGUACCUCAACAACUACCUGAGAGCAGAGAAGCAUCAAAGCAAAUAAGUGAUUAUAUGACCGUCAGCCGUGCACCUUCAAUGCCUGUCUGUUGCCAGAUUUUUUAUCGUUACCAUUCAACUAUAUUUCCACUUCGCCUGUACAGUUGGGCUCCAAGCCGUACAUUUGUCGGAUAUUUUUAAGCAGUACAUACAGAAAAGUAAGCCAUGUAUACAUUGAAACCUAUAUCUUCGCAGUUCAUACAUAUUCUUUGUUAAUUUAAUUGGUUUACCGCACAUCUUGGAUAGAUCUAUUUUCAAAGUGUCUGGUGCUAAUAGAUUCAAUUUUUUUUCUUCUGUUGAGCAACUGAUACCAAUUCUAUUCUGCUGUUGAUACUUCCAGGGCUGCUUUUUUUUCGUCAGUAAAAGACUUCUAUUACAAAUUUACAAUAAUAACAAAUGAUACAAACUGCAGAGAAAGUGCCUAAGAGCCUCUAUUGAUAAUAAUAUCACACACGGCCAUUACGUUGUGCUAUGUAUCAGGAUUACACAGAAAAUACACUGACCUUUUUGUUUACUCAAGCAAACACAUGGUUUAAAUUUGUGUACAUGGAGUGCAAUACCUAUUCUGUAUUGUGCUACGGUUCUACUACUUUUAGUACCUGUGUGUCUAUCGCCUUUGGAAAUUGAGCUUUGAGAUAUUGUAUCCAAAGAGGACGGCAAAGAGGAUGGGGAAUGCCGCCAGAGCUAUGGCUGACAGUGGCAGCAGGUCACGGCGAAAACCAAAGUAGUCCCUCAUGAAAACUGCAAUGGAUUUGGUCUCUCCAAAUACCAUGACCAUUCUGUCGGUGUCGUCCCCGAACUGUGUGGUGAAGAAGACAUUGAGCGUCCAUGACAUUGGAGAGAUAUAGUAGAGCCAUAUCCACCAUCUUGGUAUUUGCUGCCAUACGUUUAUGAGUUCUUGUAAAAUACCAUCCUUUUGGUCUCUAAAUCUAAUGGUAUAUAUUGUAGAGUAAAGAUGACUUGACUUACUGGUGCAGGCACGAUGAAGCCACACAUGAGGUUUUGUAGGGUAUAGAACAUGGAUGCAAGUAUGGAUGCGACUUGGAUGUUGGGGGUGAGUGACACCAUCAACAUUCCCAGGUAGAGGAAGUAGAGCAGCGUGCAAAACAUGGUAUACAUGAACCAAAAGAACUUCGCUGGUGUCCACGUGUACCCUACCAUCGGGUAUGAUAUCACCAUGAACAGCAGUACCUGCACCAGCACAUAAGGACCUGAGCAAAGGAGUAGGCCCAAGGUGAGUACAUCCCUGCAAACCUUUCCCGGUACACGACGGAGCGCUCAACGGAUACAAAUGGCAUCACCGAUUGGCAGUUGUUGAUGCCAGAGAACAGAGUGAUUCCAUACAUGCACCCCAAUAUGGUAAGGUACAUAAUUAAGAGAUGGCUUACAUACAUGCGGUUGAUGUUUCCUUGCUGCCAGAAUAAAACACCGAAGGAAAUGCAUGUGACUGUUAUGAACACCAUCCGCACCAGGUUGUAGGAAGGGGUUCUCCAAUAUGACAAAGACUGCUUCCAGAGGCAAGCUUUGAAUUGCUCCCAAAACUUCUGUGGGAACUGUGUUGGGAAAUGGAGGUCACUUGUACCUGGAACUGGAAGGUGAACAAAUUCUUCAUAAUAAUUUCAGGAUGAAGUCAUGUUUUGAACCCAGUGGAGGAGGAGCCCCACUGUUUUUUAUCUAGAAGGGGGAGACACCCAGAAUUCAUCUCCCUUGAGUUGAACCUGGGCGAGCUGCCUGCAAGAUGGCAGGGCUAGCCACACGAGCAGGCGCUCGGUCUCUGAAAGCUGAUUUCUGAUGUUCUUAUCCAAAAUAAUCACCUUAUAAAACUACAUAUACGAUGAAUCUACGCUAUAUUUAUUGCACUUGAAAACUACCAUUAAUAAGCAUAUAUUUUUGUGGCUGAGAGAGGGAAGCUUGGAGAAGGCUAUAUAUGUAAAGUAAUUACCUCAUCAAAUGCCUCAAAUAUCUCAAUACUUGGUUGGUGAAUGGUGCAUACAACUGUUCGGCCUGUGUCUGCAACGUUCUUCACUGCACGCAUGACGAUGGCAGCUGCCCUUGCAUCCAAACCUGAUGUUGGCUCAUCCAUGAAUAUGAUUGAAGGAUUAGAUACAAGCUCGACUGCAAUAGACUUCAUUGACAAAUUCCUGCGAGGGAAAGACAUGCAGUGAGCUCACAAUUUCAUGACAGCUGUCCCCAGAACCUAGGAUACAAGCAUACAAACCAUGGGAAGGCAUUCCUUUUCAUAAGGAGGAGCUCCCGCGCAAAACAUGCCUUGAGGAGAUCCAACUUGGAUAAUGAGUAGAUGCUGAAGGACAGGGCAUCCUUGUGUCCUUUUGAUUUGUCAUACGGCUUCAAAAGCUCCUCCGCAAGAUUCUGACCACUUGGAGAUGCUUUGAACUUGUCACAGAAUUGGUCAACUGUAACAAAAUUAUAUCUUUCUUUGGUACGGCUCCAGUAUUGCUGUUGAUCCUUUUUUGACAAGACCUAUAUACACACGAGUUUUGAAGAGUGAACUACCUUAUGAUGGUAAGCAAGUGUACUAAUAAGCAAGACAAAAUCAGGUACUCACAAUCUACAUUCAGUUAAUUCAUAUUAACAACAUUUAUUUUUACUGUAUGUGCAACAAAAUUAUAGGCGGCACUCUUAAUUUGCAAAAAUGUUGAAACUCAAAAGAUAUCACUAUAAGAGAAUUUAUAUUUGCACUGCUAUAGAUAUAUAAAAUCUCCAGUUGUGUUAUUUCAUAUUCGCCAAAUGAUGUGCAUGUGGCAAACAAAAUUUGACAUACCAGAUAGGCAUUCUGCCUCAUUUCACUGACAGAAAGAUCUGAUUAAAUUUAACAAGAACUAGAGAGGCACAAAUUUGAACAUCUGGUGCUGCAUGUAUUGAUGCUUACGUGAAGUGCAGGUUCCAUGCAUAGUGAAUUUAUUUUCCAUAUAUGGCUUAUUGGACGUUAUGCUAACAGAACCAUGCCUUACAUGAACUCCUAGAUGCUAUUGGUGAGCAAUUAGUUAGACUAGGUAAAUUAGUAUUUUGUUAAAUACCUCUUGAAGAAAGUCAGCGCCCCCUUUUCUUUCGGGACACUUAAAUCCACACGAUUCAAAGAAACUCAUAAUGCAAUCCUUACGGCCAUGGUAAACGAUUUGUCCUUCAGCCAUCAAGAUAAUAUCAUCAAAAAGGUCAUAAGUCUCUGGUGCUGGUUGAAGGAGUGAGACCAGUAUGGUAGACUCUGAUAUAUGAGCUAGCUGUUGGAGGCAAGAAACAAUUUGAAAGGUGGUCGAACUGUCCAGCCCAGUUGAUAUUUCAUCCAUGAAGAGUGCUUUUGAGGGCCCUACUAUCAUCUCUCCUGAUUGUAAUAAAUUUUUAGAAAUAAAAAGAAAAUAAGCAUCCAGCAUCGAAUUAUUUUAUUUUAUUUAUAUUAUAUAGACCAAAAUCGAGCUUAGGAUUAGACAAACUGAAUAUAUCACUUGAGUAGCUAAAAAAGAGGGAACGAGAGUCAUGCUAAGCUGAUUUUCCCAUCAGGAUGGCUUUCAUGCUUUCAUCACAAUGGAUUGUCUGAUUUACCCUUUCCCUGUUGUCAGCCUAGUUGUGACAAGAUUUUCAUAUUAGUUGGCCAUAAAAAAUUACUGAAAACAUUGACGAAAAAAUUGAAACUUGUAUAAUGUUCCAAUACGCAGUUAAGAAAUUUUAGUCAACGAGUUGAAUAAUUAUUUAAGUAUUUAUUAUGAAAAAAGUUCUUUCCAAAAUUAGAAUUUAGAUAGUAUAAAACCAGCCUGCAAAUGCAUAUGUUCUAAAAUCACCUGUGGUUAGUCUUUUCUUCUCACCGCCUGAAAUACCUCUUCUCAUGGCAUCUCCCACUAGUACAUCAGCGCAUAUGUCAAGUCCCAUGAUCUGUGAUGCAAGAAAGAGAUUACGCACAGGAGAAGUACUAUGCGCUGAGUCUAGAGAUUUUUUAUUAACAUCAAUUACCUUCAUAAUGUAAUCUGUUUGCAUGCUUCUUUCUAAACCUUCCACAGAUAUUGCCUAUAAAAAAGAUCACAGCUGAAAUUAAUUGGGCUGUGAGCACAUGAUGUUAUUUCUGUAAGAAUCAAUAGGAAACAUUCCCACUGAACAAUUAUGUUGGCAGAAAGGAUAGUGAUUUCAGUUUUCUUUUAAUGUUACCAGAGAAGAGGGUUCUGAUUCGCAAACUCAGAAAAUUUAAAAAAUUAUACCAAGAAAGGUUACCUUCAUGUACGUAUCUAUGUCGGGGUCAGGGGUGAUACCGGCCUCCUUCUCCCUUCUAAUGACUUCCUUCAUGAUUUCUGUUGUACACAAGAAAUUUAGAGCACUUGGUUUAGUGGUGAUGCUUCCCUGAAACUUCCUUCCAAAAAAAAGAAGUAUUUCUGAAACCAAGAUCCUUACGGCUUUGUGUUUAGUUACCUGCUCCAGGAAAAGAAGUAAACUUAGUUACCUGCUCUGCUGCCGACGCCCUGGAAUCUUGCAGAGAAGUCGAGCGUCUCCCUGACAGUCAUCUCAGGGACAUGAAGAUCAUACUGACCAAUAAAAAUAGAAGAUGGGGACAGGGAUACCUUGAGAUUUCUGUUGAGCUUUCCCGCAAGUGCUAGCAAGAGGGAUGUUUUUCCGCAGCCUGGGGGUCCAAGGAGUAGGGUCAUCCUGCAUGCACAUGUACGGAUUGAUUAUGAUAUACAUGUACAUGUACAUGGAAGGAAACCGCAAGAAGAUUAUGAUACAUGAACAUAUAUAUAGCAGAGGUCGGUUACCUGGAAGGUUUGAGGAUGCCGGUGACAUCUUUGAGGAUGUGGAUCCUUUCUUGGUUACGCUUGAAGCCCAGCAUGGUGGUGAGCAGCUGCAGAUAUCAGUGGAGGCAUUUAAGCGAACAGGCGGCAGUACAGAAUAGAAGUGUAGGCAGGUGAAUGACUUACAGAGAGCGUGGAUAUGGCGGAGUUGAGGAGCGUGGGCAGCGGCUUGCCGUCGACGACCUGGCACUCGG